AUUUAAAUUGAUCUAAUCUUAUACAUUCAUAUGGGGUUCAUAUUUUCGCUAAAAUUUUCAGAAAAAUAAACAUAUUAUUAUCUCAUCAAAAUGUGUCAUCUUUUGUAUUGGUCUAACGCAGAAUUUAAGAAUUUUAUUAGUUUAUCGUGUUUAUUAAUUUAUCAAAUAAUAAUUUAAAGAGUUUCUAUUGUAUUUGUUAGUGAUUAAUCAAAAAAUAUAUAGAGAAAAAUAAUUUAAAUAUCUUAUAUGUAAAAUUUAGGAUAGAUAGUUAUUGAAUAUACUUAAAAUGUCAAAUAUAAUCUCUAGUAAACAUGACAAUAAACUAUUUUUAUAUAUAUUUCAUGUUAAUUAAAAACUCAGUCUCCUGAAAAUUUGGUUUUAUACUGAAAUUUUGAUAUCCAAAUCGAUAACUUCUGAUAUAGACUAAGCACGUGGAUGAUCAAUUUUUUUUUAAAAAAAGAGGUUUUUGUUUAUGUUAUCGGUUCGAGCCGGAUCAAACCUCAAAUAGAUAAAUAUAUAAAUAAAUUCUUAAUUAUCUUAGUACAAGUAGAGGAAACAAUGAGAAAAGAAAAAGAUAAGGAAAAUAGAGAAUGAAAUGGAGCAAAUAUUUGAAUUAGUAUUAUCAAAGAUUGACACAUUCCAUGAUAACGUAUUCUUGAUGUACAAAUGCUUUUUACUACUCUGAUUCACAUGGUGAUCAUCUCCAAACUCACAUAGCAAAAAUCUUGUUUUAAAAAAGUGGUAUAGCUUGUUUUAAAAAAGUGGUAUAGCCACACCAUCAUCGAUCUAAUCUUAUACAUUCAUAUGGGGUUCAUAUUUUCGCUAAAAUUUUCAGAAAAAUAAACAUAUUAUUAUCUCAUCAAAAUGUGUCAUCUUUUGUAUUGGUCUAACUCAGAAUUUAAGAAUUUUAUUAGUUUAUCGUGUUUAUUAAUUUAUCAAAUAAUAAUUUAAAGAGUUUCUAUUGUAUUUGUUAGUGAUUAAUCAAAAAUUAUACAGAGAAAAAUAAUUUAAAUAUCUUAUAUAUAAAAUUUAGGAUAGAUAGUUAUUGAAUAUACUUAAAAUGUCAAAUAUAAUCUCUAGUAAACAUGACAAUAAACUAUUUUUAUAUAUAUUUCAUGUUAAUUAAAAACUCAGUGUCCUGAAAAUUUGGUUUUAUACUGAAAUUUUGAUAUCCAAAUCGAUAACUUCUGAUAUAGACUAAGCACGUGGAUGAUCAAUUUUUUUUUAAAAAAAAGAGGUUUUUGUUUAUGUUAUCGGUUCGAGCCGGAUCAAACCUCAAAUAGAUAAAUAUAUAAAUAAAUUCUUAAUUAUCUUAGUACAAGUAGAGGAAACAAUGAGAAAAGAAAAAGAUAAGGAAAAUAGAGAAUGAAAUGGAGCAAAUAUUUGAAUUAGUAUUAUCAAAGAUUGACACAUUCCAUGAUAACGUAUUCUUGAUGUACAAAUGCUUUUUACUACUCUGAUUCACAUGGUGAUCAUCUCCAAACUCACAUAGCAAAAAUCUUGUUUUAAAAAAGUGGUAUAGCCACACCAUCAUCGAUCUAAUCUUAUACAUUCAUAUGGGGUUCAUAUUUUCGCUAAAAUUUUCAGAAAAAUAAACAUAUUAUUAUCUCAUCAAAAUGUGUCAUCUUUUGUAUUGGUCUAACUCAGAAUUUAAGAAUUUUAUUAGUUUAUCGUGUUUAUUAAUUUAUCAAAUAAUAAUUUAAAGAGUUUCUAUUGUAUUUGUUAGUGAUUAAUCAAAAAUUAUACAGAGAAAAAUAAUUUAAAUAUCUUAUAUAUAAAAUUUAGGAUAGAUAGUUAUUGAAUAUACUUAAAAUGUCAAAUAUAAUCUCUAGUAAACAUGACAAUAAACUAUUUUUAUAUAUAUUUCAUGUUAAUUAAAAACUCAGUUUCCUGAAAUUUUGGUUUUAUACUGAAAUUUUGAUAUCCAAAUCGAUAACUUCUGAUAUAGACUAAGCACGUGGAUGAUCAAUUUUUUUUUAAAAAAAAGAGGUUUUUGUUUAUGUUAUCGGUUCGAGCCGGAUCAAACCUCAAAUAGAUAAAUAUAUAAAUAAAUUCUUAAUUAUCUUAGUACAAGUAGAGGAAACAAUGAGAAAAGAAAAAGAUAAGGAAAAUAGAGAAUGAAAUGGAGCAAAUAUUUGAAUUAGUAUUAUCAAAGAUUGACACAUUCCAUGAUAACGUAUUCUUGAUGUACAAAUGCUUUUUACUACUCUGAUUCACAUGGUGAUCAUAUCUCCAAACUCACAUAGCAAAAAUCUUGUUUUUAAAAAAGUGGUAUAGCCACACCAUCAUCGAUCUAUGCCAGUUCUUUAAUUAAGCAAUUAAGGGGGCAUCAAUUCAUAUAUAAAUCUAUUGGGUAACACUAGUAAAAAUCUUCCGCAUAGCCACGGUAGUGCCAGUGUAAAAUCGUGGCUUAUUUGAAAAAAUCACUGUUUAGCCACGGUUAGCCACAAUUUUUUUAAAAGACACGAUUAUUCUUUUCUAGCCACGAUUCAGUCACUAAAUAAUCAUGGUUAUUUUAGUAGCCACGAUUUAGCUACGAAAUGACAGUGGCUAAUCGUUAGCCACGACUCAGCCACUUUAUUUUUGUGGCUAUUUAGUUUUUCUAUACCCUAAACCCUAAACUUCAAAAUUAAAUUAUACAUCCUAGAUACUAAAACCAAAAUACAAAUAUAACAUUUUUGAAAAACUUUAAAUAUAAAUGUUAAAUUUAAAUUCUAAAUAUAAAUUUCUUUAAAAUCCAUUAUAAAUCUUAAACCUAAACCCUUAUCUUAAACUUUACAUACAAAAACCAUAAAUCUAAUGUUUUCAAACCAUAAACCUUAUAUCAUACAUUAAAUCACAAAUAUUUUAAUCUAAUUAAACCCAAAAUUUAUAUAUUUCAAACUCUAAAAACAUUUAUACUUUCAAUUAUUUAAUCUUAACAUUUACAUUUAAUCUUUAACAAGUGUACUCAAAUCCUAUUUCUCAAACUAUAAACUCUAUAUUGUAAACAUAUAUCAUUAAACCAUGAAGCAUUAUAUCUUAAAUUCAAAAUAUUGAAAUUUAAAUUGAAAAUCUUAUCAAUUUUCUUUAGGUUAUGCACUAUAAUCAUAAGCUAACAACUAAAUAAUAAAAAGAAAAGAAAUACUGAAAUCUAAUGCUAAUUCCUAAACUAACUUCUCAUUGGUCAAAAGAAGAAAGGAACGGAUUACCCCCUGUUAGAUCACAACCAUUCAUAAAGAUCCAUCGAACGGCCACAACUACACACGCUUUAUAUUUUUAUUUUUAAUUUAUUUUCUUCUUCCUUCUCUUCUCUCGUCUCUGAUUUUUUUCUAGAUCUAAGUUUCGUUUUCACACAGAUCUCUCUACCGCUCACACAUCUCUCCAUCUCUGCUCACAGAAGAAACAUCAAUGCCUCUACUCACAUAUCUAUGUUUGUAUCUUAUCAGUUGUGUAUGUAUUUGAUUUUGUUUUGAUAGAUGACAGAUACGGAGGUGGACUGCGACGGUAACGAAGAUGGAGAGACAUAGAUGGCUGAGGAAGAAGCGGAGAUUUUUAAACUAGGAAGAAGAAGAAGAAGGAGAGAAGACAAAGGAAGAAGAAGAAAAGCCAAGAUGAAGCUUCGCUGGCUCCUUCCAGAGCCAAUAUUGAAGAAGAUGAAGGUGGUGCGGUGGUGCGUGUAUCACCGGUGAUCACGGGGGUGGGCUAUUACCGGAGGAAUGUUGCGCGUGGUUCAUGGCCUGGUGCGCGUGGUGCUGUGCGAGGAUAUACAUAUAUAAUAAACAUGUAAUUUAUAAGAUUUUAUAUUUUAUUAAUAAAUUAUUUUAUUUUUUA